rnacentral:tRNA from 1 species
GCCCCGAUAGCUCAGUGGUAGAGCACUUCCUUGGUAAGGAAGAGGUCGUCAGUUCGAUCCUGAUUCGGGGCU